UACGGAGGAUGCAGCGUUAUCCGGAAUUAUUGGGCGUAAAGCGUCCGCAGGUGGUACAUCAAGUCUGCUGUCAAAGACCGGAGCUCAACUCCGGGCAGGCAGUGGAAACUGGUGAACUAGAGUACGGUAGGGGUAGAGGGAAUUCCCAGUGUAGCGGUGAAAUGCGUAGAGAUUGGGAAGAACACCAGUGGCGAAGGCGCUCUACUGGGCCGUAACUGACACUCAGGGACGAAAGCUAGGGGAGCGAAAGGG
rnacentral:rRNA from 1 species